rnacentral:rRNA from 1 species
AUUGAACGCUGGCGGCAGGCUUAACACAUGCAAGUCGAGCGGGGGAAGGUAGCUUGCUACCGGACCUAGCGGCGGACGGGUGAGUAAUGCUUAGGAAUCUGCCUAUUAGUGGGGGACAACAUCUCGAAAGGGAUGCUAAUACCGCAUACGUCCUACGGGAGAAAGCAGGGGAUCUUCGGACCUUGCGCUAAUAGAUGAGCCUAAGUCGGAUUAGCUAGUUGGUGGGGUAAAGGCCUACCAAGGCGACGAUCUGUAGCGGGUCUGAGAGGAUGAUCCGCCACACUGGGACUGAGACACGGCCCAGACUCCUACGGGAGGCAGCAGUGGGGAAUAUUGGACAAUGGGGGGAACCCUGAUCCAGCCAUGCCGCGUGUGUGAAGAAGGCCUUAUGGUUGUAAAGCACUUUAAGCGAGGAGGAGGCUACUCUAGUUAAUACCUAGGGAUAGUGGACGUUACUCGCAGAAUAAGCACCGGCUAACUCUGUGCCAGCAGCCGCCGUAA